rnacentral:sRNA from 1 species
GGCGCUUAGCGGGCAGGAGGCGCGCGCCUGGCGGCGGAGUGCGGCGGGAGGCCGGGCCCGCGCGGCCAUGAACCUAGAGCGGCUGCGGAAGCGCGUCCGGCAGUACCUCGACCAGCAACAGUACCAGAGUGCUCUAUUUUGGGCAGAUAAAGUAGCUUCACUCUCUCAUGAGGAACCCCAGGACAUCUAUUGGUUGGCUCAAUGUCUUUACCUGACAGCACAAUAUCACAGAGCCGCCCAUGCACUUCGGUCACGAAAACUGGACAAAUUGUAUGAAGCAUGUCGUUACCUUGCAGCUAGGUGCCAUUAUGCUGCAAAAGAGUACCAGCAGGCUCUUGAUAUUCUUGAUAUGGAAGAGCCAAUCAACAAAAGAUUAUUUGAAAAGUACUUGAAGGAUGAAAGUGGCUUCAAAGAUCCCUCCAGCGACUGGGAAAUGUCACAGUCUUCAAUAAAGAGUUCUAUUUGUCUUCUACGCGGGAAAAUCUAUGAUGCUCUAGAUAACCGAACCCUGGCUACCUACAGCUACAAAGAAGCUUUGAAGCUUGAUGUCUACUGUUUUGAAGCAUUCGAUCUUUUAACGUCACACCACAUGUUGACAGCACAAGAAGGUUUGGAAACUCAGGUGUUUUAUGUUUAGCAAAAUUAAUAUUGUUUGGAUUUUUUGUCUCUGAAAUCUUCUAAGUCAACAACAGACCACAUACAGGUUUAAAUAGACCUACUCACUUUCUUAAUGUCUUCAAAUGUAAAGCACAUUGCAGAAUGCAGUAUUGUACGGUGCCCUGUGCUGUCCGAAUCUAGGGAUUGUGAUAGGAAGAGGCCAUCUUUUUGAGAAGUGAUUGAGAUAGUAUAAACCAGGAUUUCAGUAUCUCAUUCAGUGAUUCUCAACCGUGUUGCUCUUUAAAUCCUUGGGAAGACUGAGAAACAUCCAUGUCCAGUUCCCAACUCCAGAGCAGAUGAUUUAAAGCUCCCAGGUGACCCUAAUGUACCAGAGGCACUG